CGAGGCCCUUUGUAUUCGUACGAAGGUGUCCUAGUGGCGAACGGGUGAGUAACACGUAGGUGACCUGCCCCGAAGAGGGGAACAACCCCGGGAAACUGGGGCUAAUACCCCAUAACCUCCUUGGAGUUAGAGGACCUUGGAGAAAAGGAGCAAUCCGCUUUGGGAGGGGCCUGCGGCCCAUCAGCUAGUUGGUAGGGUAACGGCCUACCAAGGCGAUGACGGGUAGGGGACCUGAGAGGGUGGUCCCCCACCAUGGUACUGAAACACGGACCAUACGACUACGGUCGGCAGCAGUAGGGAAUAUUGCACAAUGGGCGAAAGCCUGAUGCAGCAACGCCGCGUGCGCGAUGAAGGCCUUCGGGUUGUAAAGCGCUUUUCUGGGGGAAGAGAGAGGACGGUACCCCAGGAAUAAGUCUCGGCUAACUACGUGCCAGCAGCCGCGGUAAAACGUAGGAGGCAAGCGUUAUCCGGAUUUACUGGGCGUAAAGCGCGUGUAGGCGGUUAGUAAGUCGGACGUGAAAGUUCCCGGCUCAACUGGGAGAGGCCGUUCGAGACUGCUAGACUAGAGGGCAGUAGAGGGAGGUGGAAUUCUGGGUGUAGCGGUGAAAUGCGUAGAUAUCCAGAGGAACACCAGUGGCGAAGGCGGCCUCCUGGACUGUCCCUGACGCUCAGACGCGAAAGCUAGGGUAGCAAACGGGAUUAGAAACCCCGGUAGUCCUAGCCGUAAACGAUGCAGACUUGGUGUUGGUGGU
rnacentral:rRNA from 1 species